UGGUGGAGUGAUUUGUCUGCUUAAUUGCGAUAACGAACGAGACCUUAACCUGCUAAAUAGCCAGGCUAGCUUUGGCUAGUCGCCGGCUUCUUAGAGGGACUAUCGGCUCAAGCCGAUGGAAGUUUGAGGCAAUAACA
rnacentral:rRNA from 1 species